rnacentral:lncRNA from 13 species
AAUCUCGCUGUGUUGCCCAGGUUGGAAUGCAGUGACACAAUCUUGGCUCACAACAACCUCUGCCUCCCAGGUUCAAGCAAUUCUCCUGCCUCAGCCUCCCAAGUAGCUGGGACUACAGUGAGUACACAGUAAAGGCAAACAGCUUUUACUUCAAAAAAGCAGAUCCAUCUGCCUCCAAACUCACAGUUCAACGCUCAUAAAAUCUAAUCGUGAGCAAGGCGGCGCUGAGUGUCUGCACACCUUCAUACUCAGCGAGACAGGAACGCAUUUCAGCAAUUCCUGGUGGCUCGUAGGCAGCCCUGUCAUCUGUGAGCUGCAGAUCAAAGACUCAACCUCAGGAAGGGAAAUGAGGGGAAUUAGUGUCCCGCCAGGAGCCUCUCGCCCCACAGUAAGGACGAGAAAGAAGCAGAUGUCCACAAAGCCCAUGUAUAGUCACUCAACAAAAUGUGCUGGACGACUGCCACACACCAGGCAGUGGAGUAAACACUGACACAGUUCUGCCUUUGAGUAUUCGAACAGCUGAGAUGGUAGUAGUCGAGUAGACAGGUAUUCAUCAUUCAGCAAAUAAUGCUUGAGCUCUGCCAUGUGCUAGGCACUAUUCCAGACAGGAGAUAGAGCAGUGAAUGAGGAAAGCCCCUAAUCUCACAUGAGGUGAGGGGGCGGGGAC